rnacentral:rRNA from 1 species
UACGUAGGGUGCGAGCGUUGUCCGGAAUUAUUGGGCGUAAAGAGCUCGUAGGCGGUUUGUCGCGUCGACUGUGAAAACCUGGGGCUUAACUCUGGGCCUGCAGUCGAUACGGGCAGACUUGAGUUCGGUAGGGGAGACUGGAAUUCCUGGUGUAGCGGUGAAAUGCGCAGAUAUCAGGAGGAACACCGGUGGCGAAGGCGGGUCUCUGGGCCGAUACUGACGCUGAGGAGCGAAGGCGUGGGGAGCGAACAGG